rnacentral:rRNA from 1 species
AUGAUUUAUUUAGUUCUGGUUAUGGGAGAAACACUAGGCACUAGUCACAUAAGGAGUUUUUAUAGAGCUGUAUGUAGAGUGUUAUUGUAUAAUUAGUGACGAGUUCUUAUUUUUGAGGUAAUUCAGAAUAGGGUGUUCUUGUGAGAAACGGUCAAUUCUCAGUGCCAGCCUCCGCGGUUAGUCUGUAGUUUCGUUCUUCUUAUCGGUUGAAAUUUUUUAGGAGUUAGUAUAUGAAGAUUGAGGUAGAAUUUUCUUUGUUUGGUGUAAAGCUCCUGAAGUAUUUUAUAGGUUUCUUUUAUAAAAGAGGAUUAGAUACCCUUGUAUAGGAGAGGUAUAAUUUUGGUGUCUGUAGUGUGAACUAAAAGAGUUUGGCAGCCGACGAGGUUCGUCCGGGGGAGUGUGUUCUUUAAAAAGACGGUCCACUUAGUAGUUUACCUUUUUAUUUGGUUAGUGUAUAUCCGGUUUAAGAUCCGUAAUUAGUGUUGCGGGUGGAGAGUAGUUGGGUACUUAAUCCAGGUCUUUGUGCUGCUGAUGAGAAGGGUGGUUAAUGCACUACAUUGUUAAAAAGCUUUGGUAUGAAUUUGAGGUAAAUUUAGGACUCGGUAGUAGGAGAGGUUUAGUUUGUCUUUUCGAAAGGGAUUUAGUUGGGGUACACACCGCCCGUCACUCAGGGCGUUAGCUCUGAUAAGUCGUAACAUGGUAACGUUGGGGGAACCGAAUGUUAGUAGAUUCAUUGUGUAUUGGGUGGAUUU